UGGGGAAUUUUGCGCAAUGGGGAAACCCUGACGCAGCAACGCCGCGUGAGCGAUGAAGCCCUUCGGGGUGUAAAGCUCUUUCGGCAGGGACGAUUAUGACGGUACCUGCAGAAGCAGCUGCGGCUAACUACGUGCCAGCAGCCGCGGUAAUACGUAGGCAGCAAGCGUUGUUCGGAAUUACUGGGCGUAAAGGGUGUGUAGGCGGUUUGGUAAGUCUGGUGUGAAAUCUCCCGGCUCAACUGGGAGGGUGCGCCGGAAACUGCCGAGCUUGGAGUGCGGGAGAGGAGAGUGGAAUUCCUGGUGUAGCGGUGAAAUGCGUAGAUAUCAGGAGGAACACCGGUGGUGUAGACGGCUCUCUGGACCGUAACUGACGCUGAGACACGAAAGCGUGGGGAGCAAAC
rnacentral:rRNA from 1 species